ensembl:lncRNA
AGAGAUAACGAUGUGGUGGGAGGAAUAUAUGCGAAGAGGUGGGGAGAUAGAAGAGAGAGAUGGGUGAGGGAAAAGAGGGGGUGGGGGAGAGGAGGGUAAAGAAAUGCUAAAGAAAACAGUGAAAGAGCAGAACAGACAAAGAGAGAGGAGAGUAGAGUAAUGGGUUGGUAGAGAGAGGAGAGUGGAGGAAUGGGUUGGUAGAGAGAGGUAGUGGAGGAAUGGGUUGGUAGAGAGAGGAGAGUAGAGGAAUGGGUUGGUAGAGAGAGGAGAGUAGAGGAAUGGGUUGGUAGAGAGAGGAGAGUAGAGGAAUGGGUUGGUAGAGAGAGGAGAGUAGAGGAAUGGGUUAGUAGAGAGAGGAGAGUAGAGGAAUGGGUUAGUAGAGAGAGGAGAGUAGAGGAAUGGGUUAGUAGAGAGAGGUAGUGGAGGAAUGGGUUAGUAGAGAGAGGUAGUGGAGGAAUGGGUUAGUAGAGAGAGGAGAGUAGAGGAAUGGGUUGGUAGAGAGAGGAGAGUAGAGGAAUGGGUUGGUAGAGAGAGGA